rnacentral:piRNA from 1 species
AGAGCAGGCACAGAGGUGUGACGAGACUC